UACAGAGGGUGCGAGCGUUAAUCGGAAUUACUGGGCGUAAAGGGUGCGUAGGUGGUCUUUUAAGUUAGAUGUGAAAUCCCUGGGCUUAACCUAGGAAUGGCAUUUAAGACUGAGAGGCUAGAGUUUGGUAGAGGGAAGUGGAAUUUCCGGUGUAGCGGUGAAAUGCGUAGAUAUCGGAAGGAACAUCAGUGGCGAAGGCGACUUCCUGGACCGAUACUGACACUGAGGCACGAAAGCGUGGGGAGCGAAC
rnacentral:rRNA from 1 species